rnacentral:rRNA from 1 species
UACAGAGGGUGCGAGCGUUAAUCGGAAUUACUGGGCGUAAAGCGCGCGUAGGCGGCUUUGCAAGUCGGGUGUGAAAUCCCCAGGCUUAACCUGGGAACUGCAUUCGAGACUGCAUUGCUAGAGUAUGGGAGAGGGAAGUGGAAUUUCCGGUGUAGCGGUGAAAUGCGUAGAUAUCUGGAGGAACACCGGUGGCGAAGGCGGCAUCCUGGACCGGUAUUGACGCUGAGGCGCGAAAGCGUGGGGAGCGAACAGG